GAACGCUAGCGGCAGGCUUAAUACAUGCAAGUCGAGGGACAGCACAGGUAGCAAUACUGGGUGGUAACCGGCAAACGGGUGCGGAACACGUACACAACCUUCCUUUAAGUGGGGGAUAGCCCAGAGAAAUUUGGAUUAAUACCCCGUAACACAGUGAGUUGGCAUCAACUUAUUGUUAUAGCCACGGCGCUUGAAGAUGGGUGUGCGGCUGAUUAGAUAGUUGGCGAGGUAACGGCUCACCAAGUCUACGAUCAGUAGCUGAUGUGAGAGCAUGAUCAGCCACACGGGCACUGAGACACGGGCCCGACUCCUACGGGAGGCAGCAGUAAGGAAUAUUGGUCAAUGGACGCAAGUCUGAACCAGCCAUGCCGCGUGAAGGAUUAAGGU
rnacentral:rRNA from 1 species